rnacentral:rRNA from 1 species
AACCUGGUUGAUCCUGCCAGUAGUGUAUGCUUUUCCUAAAGAUUAAGCCAUGCAUGCCUUCGAAUAAGAGGAAGCAAUUCUCUCUGAAUCUGCGAACGGCUCCGCAAACCAGUUGUAAACUCGAGUAAGCACGCUUGGCCCAGGCCCAUAACGGGCCCAGGCCAAGCUACAUGGAUAACCGUGGUAAUUCUGAGGCUAAUACAUGACAGUAAGCUAGCUCGGUCCGCAUCAGUUCCCUCGUGGAACCGCGGGCCGGGUGGAUGUGUGAUAAACGGCUUGGGAAACCAUGACAGAACGCACGUUUGGACCAUCGUCAAUGGCCGCUGCGGCCCCUCGGGGCUAAAGCCGGUUAGGUGGCUCUUACUACGUGCUUCUGACCUAUCAACUAGACGGCAGCUUAACGUACAUGCCGUGGUUACAACGGGUACAGAGGAUUAGAGUUCGAUUCUGGAGAGUGGGCCUGAGAGAUUGCUCAUACUUCUAAGGAAGGCAGCAGGCGCGCAACGUUCCCAGUGGGCAAAGCCCGAGGGCGUUAGGGGAAAUAUGAAUGCCUGCCAAUAAGGCGGGCAAUCACAUGUACGUGACGUAAACAGCCUGUCGAGUAACAAUUAGAGGACA